AUUGAACGCUGGCGGCAGGCCUAACACAUGCAAGUCGAACGAGUGGCGGACGGGUGAGUAAUGUCUGGGAAACUGCCCGAUGGAGGGGGAUAACUACUGGAAACGGUAGCUAAUACCGCAUACCAUCGGAUGUGCCCAGAUGGGAUUAGCUUGUAGGGGAGGUAACGGCUCACCUAGGCGACGAUCCCUAGCUGGUCUGAUAGGAUGACCAGCCAAACGGGAACUGAGACACGUUCCAUACUCCUAUGGGAGUCAGCAGGGGGGAAUAUUGCACAAUGGGCGCAAGCCGUAUGUAGCCAUGCCGCGGGUAUGAAGAAGGCCUGCGGGUUGUAAAGUACUUUCAGCGGGGAGGCGUUACCCGCAGAAUAAGCACCGGCUAACUCCGUGCCAGCAGCCGCGGUAAUUC
rnacentral:rRNA from 1 species